rnacentral:hammerhead_ribozyme from 1 species
GUACUGAUGAAGAGUCCCAAAAUAGGACGACACAGAUUUCCAGUAC